rnacentral:rRNA from 1 species
CCUACGGGAUGCUGCAGUGGGGAAUAUUGCGCAAUGGGCGAAAGCCUGACGCAGCGACUCCGCGUGAGGGAUGAAGGUCUUCGGAUCGUAAACCUCUGUCAGCAGGGCAGAACGGUCACUGUGCUAAUCAGCAGUGACUUGACGGUACCUGCAAAGGAAGCACCGGCUAACUCCGUGCCAGCAGCCGCGGUAAUACGGAGGGUGCGAGCGUUAAUCGGAAUUACUGGGCGUAAAGCGCUCGUAGGCGGUAUGUCAAGUCAAUGGUGAAAUCCCCGCGCUCAACGUGGGAACUGCCUUUGAAACAGGCAAACUGGAGUGUGUGAGAGGAUAGUGGAAGUCCAGGUGUAGGAGUGAAAUCCGUAGAUAUCUGGAGGAACAUCAGUGGCGAAGGCGACUAUCUGGCACAUAACUGACGCUGAGGAGCGAAAGCGUGGGUAGCAAACAGGAUUAGAUACCCUAGUAGUC